UACGAAGGGGGCUAGCGUUGCUCGGAAUCACUGGGCGUAAAGCGCACGUAGGCGGAUUGCUAAGUCAGGGGUGAAAUCCUGGAGCUCAACUCCAGAACUGCCUUUGAUACUGGCGACCUUGAGUCCGGGAGAGGUGAGUGGAACUGCGAGUGUAGAGGUGAAAUUCGUAGAUAUUCGCAAGAACACCAGUGGCGAAGGCGCCCACUGGGCCGGUACUGACGCUGAGGCACGAAGGCGUGGGGAGCGAACGGG
rnacentral:rRNA from 1 species